rnacentral:misc_RNA from 1 species
AAGGAUCAUUAACAAAUCCGUUGAGUGGGGGGAAAGGAGCGUGGUUGGUAGUGGGUAGGUUGUGUAUGCAUAUGUAUGCGCAUCGCUUGCUGCGCACACUCACUCCACUCCCUCACUGACAUGAACCGGAUCUCCGAGAGGAGGUUCGCCUGUGGACGGUCAGUUGGCUGUCUGCAGAAAUAGGCUAUGCUUGUGUGUCUUAACAUUAUAAACGACAACCAUAAACAACUUUUAACAAUGGAUCUCUUGGCUCUU